UAAGGAAUAUUGGACAAUGUAGGCAACUCUGAUCCAGCCAUGCCGCGUGAAGGAUUAAGGCCCUAUGGGUUGUAAACUUCUUUUAGACGGGACAAAACCCCUUUACGUGUAAAGGGUUGAUGGUACUGUCAGAAUAAGCAUCGGCUAACUUCGUGCCAGCAGCCGCGGUAAUACGAAGGAUGCAAGCGUUAUCCGGAAUUAUUGGGUUUAAAGGGUGCGUAGGCGGACUAAUAAGUCAGUGGUGAAAGCCUGCAGCUUAACUGCAGAAUUGCCGUUGAUACUGUUAGUCUUGAGUACAGUUGAGGUAGGCGGAAUGUGUCAUGUAGCGGUGAAAUGCUUAGAUAUGACACAGAACACCGAUUGCGAAGGCAGCUUGCUAAGCUGUAACUGACGCUGAGGCAC
rnacentral:rRNA from 1 species